rnacentral:rRNA from 1 species
UACGUAGGUGGCGAGCGUUAUCCGGAAUGAUUGGGCGUAAAGGGUGCGCAGGCGGGUUAUCAAGUCAGCGGUAAAAUCGUGGGGCUCAACCCCAUCCAGCCGUUGAAACUGGGGAUCUAGAGUGUGCGAGAGGUAUGCGGAAUGCGUGGUGUAGCGGUGAAAUGCAUAGAUAUCACGCAGAACUCCGAUUGCGAAGGCAGCAUACCGGCGCCCAACUGACGCUGAAGCACGAAAGCGUGGGUAUCGAACAGG